GAGCGACCGCUGGCGGCAGGCUUAACACAUGCAAGUCGAGCGGGCGUAGCAAUACGUCAGCGGCAGACGGGUGAGUAACGCGUGGGAACGUACCUUUUGGUUCGGAACAACACAGGGAAACUUGUGCUAAUACCGGAUAAGCCCUUACGGGGAAAGAUUUAUCGCCGAAAGAUCGGCCCGCGUCUGAUUAGCUAGUUGGUGAGGUAACGGCUCACCAAGGCGACGAUCAGUAGCUGGUCUGAGAGGAUGAUCAGCCACAUUGGGACUGAGACACGGCCCAAACUCCUACGGGAGGCAGCAGUGGGGAAUAUUGGAAAAUGGGGGCAACCCUGAUCCAGCCAUGCCGCGUGAGUGAUGAAGGCCCUAGGGUUGUAAAGCUCUUUUGUGCGGGAAGAUAAUGACGGUACCGCAAGAAUAAGCCCCGGCUAACUUCGUG
rnacentral:rRNA from 1 species